rnacentral:lncRNA from 1 species
GACUGAGCCAGCUCAGUUCUCAGAAACUCGCCUUCCCGUGUAGCCUGCAGGCCCAGCGCGCCCCGCUGACCCCUCAGUGACCCCCUGUGCCCUCCCCCGGUGCGUCCUCCCGAGCCUCCUCGGGGCCCUUCCCUGCGGAGCCCAGAGCUGAAGUUUGGCAUCACCAGCCACCUGUCGGCUGGGCUGCCGUGUCCUCUUGCCUCUGCCGCGUGGGCACCUAGAACAGCGCUAAGAGGGUUGAAAAGCAGAGAAGAAUAGUUAGCAUUUCUAGAGCGAUCAAAAUAUGGAAGGCCAC